ensembl:lncRNA
AAUUACCUAACAUUGCAGCGUCCUUGCUGAAUUGUCUGUGUUUUCCAAACCAGCUGUCCAGUUUGCCAAAGCUGUUCUGAUUUGUCAGCUGUGUGCUAACACCUUUUAGCUUGAAUCUGCAUGUGAAUUUUAAUAUGUCUGACCUACCUCUAUUGGUUAUAAUGGGAAUAUUUGUGUAUUUGAUCCAGGACCAAUCUUUCAGUCACCUAGAUGAUAUAUUCUUCAACUGAUUGGUUUUUGCACACUUUGAAGUAAUACUUUUCUCAGUUGACUUAUGGAGCUGCUAUUCUGUAAAAGGAGGAAUCUAUCAGUUUGACCAUGAGUAGCAGCCAGCACGGAUUUGUCAAGAAUAAACCACUUCCUUGCUGUCAGUUACAGGUGCUAUGUGCUGCAGCUUCCUGUCUGGGACACUGAUCGGUGCUGCUCUUCUGGGUCGUGCUUGCUCUCUCAGGAGGCCACAACCCAUGUUAACAGGGUUUCCACAUGCUCUGGCCUCUUGUGCUUCUUCGCCUCACAAUCUGCUCACCCAGCCAAGAGCAUCCUGAACAAAUGAAUGCUGGUAACUGGAGGGUUAUUGUUAUUGUUCUAAGAGCAAUUAAGAGUACUAGAGUUGGUCACUGAGUUUGUGCAUCUACAGGUGGCACGUUCCUGCUGGUAAGGUUCAACACUACUCCAGCAUAGGGCUCAGACUAGGGCUGUUCUUGCUAGAGGGAAGGGAGGCCCUCUAUCAGGGCAGCCAGGUCCAAAGAUCACCGUCCCUCUCUGGGGGUGUCUGGUUGUCACCUGUGAGUCACUGCAGAGGGUGGCACUUAGGAAAGCUCUGUCUUUGCCACUUGGUGAGGCACAACCAGGCCUUGCAGGAGGUGGAGUUGGGUACACCAUGCUGAGAGCCAUCAAACCAGAUCUGCA